GCUGAUUGGGCGGAGAAGAGUCAGGGAGCCAGUUGGAUCUUUUCGUGUUGAGAAGCGACGGAGCAUCGCUGAAUUAAUAGCCUGAAAGUCGGGAGUGGCGUGCAGGUUGAAGAUGUCUCAAAAGGAGAAAAAAAGGAAGGGAUUUCGGCAGAAACCGCCACCGAUCCUCAAGUAUUUACAGGGUAUCCUUCGCAAAUACCCGGAUGGAGGGCAGAUAU